rnacentral:guide_RNA from 1 species
AUAUAAAUGUACAACAAGCAGUAAAGAGACAAUGAAACUAAGUGAUUUAGU